AACGAACGCUGGCGGCGUGCCUAACACAUGCAAGUCGAACGAGAAUGCAGACUUCGGUCUGCUAGUAAAGUGGCGCACGGGUGAGUAACACGUGGGUAACGUACAUCGUAGUGGGGGAUAACCAGGUGAAAGCUUGGCUAAUACCGCAUGAGUCCGUCGGGACGCGAGUCUUGACGGGGAAAGUGAGUAAUCACGCUACGAGAUCGGCCCGCGGCCCAUUAGCUAGUUGGCGGGGUAAUGGCCCACCAAGGCGACGAUGGGUAGCUGGUCUGAGAGGAUGAUCAGCCACACUGGAACUGAGACACGGUCCAGACUCCUACGGGAGGCAGCAGUCGGGAAUUUUGGGCAAUGGGCGAAAGCCUGACCCAGCAACGCCGCGUGAAGGAUGAAGUAUUUCGGUAUGUAAACUUCGAAAGAAUAGGAAGAAUAAAUGACGGUACUAUUUAUAAGCUCCGGCUAACUACGUG
rnacentral:rRNA from 1 species